rnacentral:ribozyme from 1 species
AGAUUACAAAUUUGAGGCCAUAGUAGAAGUACGCACGGUGCAACCUGUCAGAUUCCAAUGAAUCUGCAAAUUCUGCU